AUUGAACGCUGGCGGCAGGCCUAACACAUGCAAGUCGAGCGAGCGGCGGACGGGUGAGUAAUGUAUGGGGAUCUGCCCGAUAGAGGGGGAUAACUACUGGAAAAGGUGGCUAAUACCCCAUACUAUAGGAUGAACCCAUAUGGGAUUAGCUAGUAGGUGGUGUAAUGGCUCACAUAGGCGACGAUCUCUAGCUGGUCUGAGAGGAUGACCAGCCACACUGGCACUGAGAAACGACCCAGACUCAUACGGUAGUCAGCAGUGGGGAAUAUUGCACAAUGGGCGCAAGCCGGAUGCAGCCAUGCCGCGUGUAUGAAGAAGGCCUUAGGUUUUUAAAGUACUUUCAGCGGGGAGGCGUGACCCGCAGAAGAAGCACCGGCUAACUCCGUGCCAGCAGCCGCGGUAAUUC
rnacentral:rRNA from 1 species